rnacentral:rRNA from 1 species
GACGUAGGGCGCGAGCGUUGUCCGGAUUUAUUGGGCGUAAAGAGCGUGUAGGCGGCCAGACAGGUCCGUUGUGAAAACUCGAGGCUCAACCUCGAGACGCCGAUGGAAACCGUCUGGCUAGAGUCCGGAAGAGGAGAGUGGAAUUCCUGGUGUAGCGGUGAAAUGCGCAGAUAUCAGGAGGAACACCGGUGGCGAAGGCGGGUCUCUGGGCCUGACCUGACGCUGAGGAGCGAAAGCGUGGGGAGCGAACAGG